UACGUAGGGUGCGAGCGUUAAUCGGAAUUACUGGGCGUAAAGCGUGCGCAGGCGGUUCGUUGUGUCUGAUGUGAAAGCCCCGGGCUCAACCUGGGAAUGGCAUUGGAAACUGGCGGGCUAGAGUGUGUCAGAGGAUGGUGGAAUUCCCGGUGUAGCGGUGAAAUGCGUAGAGAUCCGGAGGAACCCCAGAGGCGAAGGCGGCGCCCUGGCUCGCAACUGACGCUCAGACACGACAGCAUGGGGAGCGAACGGG
rnacentral:rRNA from 1 species